rnacentral:tRNA from 1 species
UAUAUGUUAAUGUAUAAUGCAUAAAAAUUUUUGAAAUUUUUAGAGAUAGUUUAAAUCUAUUAUAUAUAU